CACAGCUUUCUUGAACUU
rnacentral:miRNA from 1 species